UGAUCUGAGUUCCCAGUCCCACCAAAUCACAACAGAAAAGAAGGAGCAUGUCCCUGCUCCCCAUUUUCCUUUGGUGGUUUUGUAACGAGUGCAGUUGCUGAGAUAUGCGUGCCAUGAUGAAAGAGCUGAUGAUUACAGAAUAACAGGAGACAGCAGAGCUUUUGUGACUAGCACACAGAGCUGAGUUGCUUGAGCAUCGCGUGUGCUGGGAGGUCUCAUUGUUUCAGCAAGGCUGCUCACCUACAGACAUAAACACCUCUAGCAUCCCCCUUGGACAUCUCUGGGGGUGUUAAGAUUGUCAGAGACGCCCGUGGUGUGGGGUGGCCCUACAGCAGAUCUGUGUCAUCCAUGGGAUGUGACUGGGAAGAGCGCAGCUGAACCUGCAGUGGCUAAAGCUUUUAAUUCUACCUGGGGGAGCCUGACUGGACAAAAUAAAGGAGUUAAGUCCUCCAAGGCCUGUUCCAGGGUGGAGGUCAGCACGUGCUUGCCACACGUCCCGGGGCUCCCCUUGGUGCCUCCCGUGACAUCGCUGCUUGUCGCUUCUGCGAGCUCACGUCACCAAUUUUUGAUGCUUGAAUGUGUAUUUAGGAGCUUCGUUACAGGCACUUAUCUCUGCAAAAUGCAUCCCAGCAUCGUGGCCUGAAUCACACAGUGUUUCCUGACCAGUGACAUAAAGAAUUACAACAAGUGACCAUUGGGGACUGGCUCUGGUGUCUUUGAAGAAAGGACUGUCCUUCGGACGAGGAAAUCUUGAGCCCAAGGAUGUGCUUAAGGCUGGCCUGAUCUGGGCUUUGUUUUCAGGGCUGCUUUGAGUGAUGAGGCUUGGAAGAGCAGGGUCACCAAUUCUGAGGGUAUUUCCACCAGAAGCAAUUGGGAGGUUUUGCUGAGCCUGUCCAGCUUGGUGGGAAGGAGAUAAUCACAGCCUGGUAAUUAAAAAGGGAACAGGGCAGACAGGCAGUGUUCUGAAACAAACUGGUUGGACCAAGUGCUAGGAAGAAGAGUAUCUUACUUACCUUUCCCCCUUCAUCCUUGUUUUUGUUUAUGCAGGAGCAGCAAAACCUGACUUCAUUUUUCUAGCUGAAGUGAUCCGUGGCUUUGCUGUGCGUCCUGUAACUCGGCAGGUAUUACAGACUGUAUUCCUAACUAAUGAACGGAGUGAUUAAUUUAUUUAACGUGUCAGACGUGGCAGAAGGUGCUGCAGCCAGUCACCGCUCAAGAAGCUAAUUGCUGCACUAAGAAAACAAAUCUGUGCAAGUCCGCAUUUCGGAGUUAUUUCCAAACAUUAACUCAAAAGUUAUUUCAGUAAUGAGGCCUCUUAAAAGAAGCAUCACUUUUCACAGCACAUGGCAGAGCUCCGUUGACCCUCCAGCACUGCUCAGCUGGGAGAAGCACAGUUCAAACGAAACUUCAGCCAUAAAACUCGGGCGAGAGGGAGGGCUGUGUAAACUCUGUGAUUAAUUAGCAGUCAGCAGUAUUGAAAUGCAUGAGAAGGGGAAGAACUGGCUCUGUGCAGAGAUUUUGGAACCCUUGUUUGUGGUCUGGAUGACAAGGUGUAUCACAGGCAGAAUCCCCCCAAGUCCCCGCUUCUGUCUGAUUUUUUUAGAGAUCUUACACAGAUCUAUACCUACUAAAAGUCACUUUUGGCUUAUCCUGGAGAGGUUUUAGGGGUAUUUCCCAAAUCAUUCCUUUACCUCCUAACUUGCUGAGAGGAAUACAUCUGA